AUUGAACGCUGGCGGCAGGCCUAACACAUGCAAGUCGAACGAGUGGCGGACGGGUGAGUAAUGUCUGGGAAACUGCCUGAUGGAGGGGGAUAACUACUGGAAACGGUAGCUAAUACCGCAUACCAUCGGAUGUGCCCAGAUGGGAUUAGGUAGUUGGUGGGGUAAAGGCUCACCUAGGCGACGAUCCCUAGCUGGUCUGAGCGGAUGACCAGCCACCCUGGAACUGAGACACGGCCCAGACUCCUACGGGAGGCAGCAGUGGGGAAUAUUGCACAAUGGGGGCAAGCCUGAUGCAGCCAUGCCGCGUGAAUGAAGAAGGCCUUCGGGUGGUAAAGUUCUUUCAGCGGGGAGGCGUUACCCGCAGAAGAAGCACCGGCUAACUCCGUGCCAGCAGCCGCGGUAAUUC
rnacentral:rRNA from 1 species